UACGUAGGGUCCGAGCGUUGUCCGGAAUUACUGGGCGUAAAGAGCUCGUAGGUGGUUUGUCGCGUUGUUCGUGAAAACUCACAGCUCAACUGUGGGCGUGCGGGCGAUACGGGCAGACUGGAGUACUGCAGGGGAGACUGGAAUUCCUGGUGUAGCGGUGGAAUGCGCAGAUAUCGGGAGGAACACCGGUGGCGAAGGCGGUUCUCUGGGCCUUACCUGACGCUGAGGAGCGAAAGCGUGGGGAGCGAACAGG
rnacentral:rRNA from 1 species